GCGAGAUUAGUUGAGCGGUCCAACGCCACCUUCCCAAGGUGAAGAGACGGGUUCGACUCCCGUAUCUCGCUCAA
rnacentral:tRNA from 3 species